UACGUAGGGUGCGAGCGUUGUCCGGAAUUAUUGGGCGUAAAGCGCUCGCAGGUGGUCCGUCGCGUCGUGCGUGAAAGACCCCGGCUCAACUGGGGAGGGUCGUGCGAUACGGGCGGACUGGAGGCCAGUAGGGGGAUGCGGAAUUCCGGGUGUAGUGGUGGAAUGCGUAGAGAUCCGGAGGAACACCAGCGGCGAAGGCGGCAUCCUGGACUGGUCCUGACACUCAUGAGCGAAAGCGUGGGGAGCGAUCCGG
rnacentral:rRNA from 1 species